rnacentral:rRNA from 1 species
AUUGAACGCUGGCGGCAGGCCUAACACAUGCAAGUCGAGCGGAUGAAGGGAGCUUGCUCCUGGAUUCAGCGGCGGACGGGUGAGUAAUGCCUAGGAAUCUGCCUGGUUGUGGGGGAUAACGUCCGGAAACGGGCGCUAAUACCGCAUACGUCCUGUGGGAGAAAGUGGGGGAUCUUCGGACCUCACGCUAUCAGAUGAGCCUAGGUCGGCUUAGCUAGUUGGGGGGGUAAAGGCCUACCAAGGCGACGAUCCGUAACUGGUCUGAGAGGAUGAUCAGUCACACUGGAACGGAGGCCCGGUCCAGACUCCGACGGGAGGCAGCCGUGGGGAAUAUUCGACAGUGGGCGAAAGCCUGAUCCAGCCAUGCCGCGUGUGUGAAGAAGGUCUUCGGAUUGUAAAGCACUUUGGGUUGUGAAGAAGGGCAGUAAGUUAAUACCUUGCUGUGUUGACGGUACCAGCAGAAUAAGCACCGGCUAACUUCGUG